UACGGAGGGGGCUAGCGUUGUUCGGAAUUACUGGGCGUAAAGCGCGCGUAGGCGGCUUUGUAAGUUAGAGGUGAAAGCCCAGGGCUCAACCCUGGAAUUGCCUUUAAGACUGCAUCGCUUGAACAUCGGAGAGGUAAGUGGAAUUCCGAGUGUAGAGGUGAAAUUCGUAGAUAUUCGGAAGAACACCAGCGGCGAAGGCGACUUACUGGACGAUUGUUGACGCUGAGGUGCGAAAGCGUGGGGAGCAAACAGG
rnacentral:rRNA from 1 species